CGGGGAGGACACCGGGCUUUCUCGGUUGUCUUGUUGCUCACAUCCCAGGUCAUGGCGGUCCCGGGACCCACGGCCCGAGCUAGUGCCAGGCCCAGAUUAGAUCUGCAACUUGUCCAGAAGUUCAUAAGGAUACAGAAGGUUUUCUUUCCUUCUUGGUCAUCACAGAAUGUCUUAAUGUUCAUGACACUCUUGUGUGUGGCCCUCCUGGAGCAACUGGUGAUCUACCAAGUUGGCUUGAUCCCCAGUCAGUAUUAUGGUGUCUUGGGAAACAAAGACCUGGAUGGAUUUAAGGCACUGACCUUCCUGGCCGUGGCACUCAUUGUUCUCAACUCCACC
rnacentral:lncRNA from 1 species